GCAAGAAGUAGGAACGUUGAAAGAGGGACCACCUGUAUCCAAUCAGGAAUUUGCACAGGGUGCUGCAUGGCUGUCGUCAGCUCGUGCCGUGAGGUGUUAGGUUAAGUCCUGCAACGAGCGCAACCCUCGUCGCUAGUUAAUUUCUCUAGCGAUACUGCCCGUAAAACGUGGAGGAAGGUGGGGAUGACGUCAAGUCAGCAUGGCCUUUAUGUCUUGGGCUACACACACGCUACAAUGGAUGGUACAAAGGGUUGCCAAAGAGCGAUCUGGAGCUAAUCCCAAAAAAACCAUCCUCAGUUCAGAUUGCAGGCUGCAAUGCCUGCAUGAAGUUGGAGUUGCUAGUAACCGCAGGUCAGCACACUGCGGUGAAUACGUUCUCGGGCCUU
rnacentral:rRNA from 1 species